UACGAAGGGGGGCUAGCGUUGCUCGGAAUUACUGGGCGUAAAGCGCACGUAGGCGGAUCUUUAAGUCAGGGGUGAAAUCCUGGAGCUCAACUCCAGAACUGCCUUUGAUACUGAAGGACUUGUAGUUCGGGAGAGGUGAGUGGAACUGCGAGUGUAGAGGUGAAAUUCGUAGAUAUUCGCAAGAACACCAGUGGCGAAGGCGGCUCACUGGCCCGAUACUGACGCUGAUGCACGAAAGCGUGGGGAGCAAACAGG
rnacentral:rRNA from 1 species